CAAGUUUUGUGUUNCCCAAAAAAACGGCCGAAANUUUUUGAAGAAAAAAAGAAAAAAAUNGUCCCAAGGAGUCCGUAGGGGAACCUCCGGAGGAAUUCAUCA
rnacentral:rRNA from 1 species